UACGGAGGGGUGCAAGCGUUAUCCGGAUUCACUGGGUUUAAAGGGAGCGUAGGUGGCUUUGUAAGUCAGUGGUGAAAUAUUGCGGCUCAACCGCAAAACUGCCAUUGAUACUGCUUAGCUUGAAUCACGUCGAGGUGGAUGGAAUAAUACAUGUAGCGGUGAAAUGCUUAGAUAUGUAUUAGAACACCGAUUGCGAAGGCAGUUCACUAGGCGUGUAUUGACACUGAGGCUCGAAAGCGUGGGGAUCAAACAGG
rnacentral:rRNA from 1 species